CCUACGGGUGGCAGCAGUGAGGAAUAUUGGUCAAUGGACGAGAGCCUGAACCAGCCAAGUAGCGUGAAGGAUGACUGCCCUAGGGGUUGUAAACUUCUUUUAUAAGGGAAUAAAAUGUUCCACGUGUGGGAUUUUGUAUGUACGUUAUGAAUAAGGAUCGGCUAACUCCGUGCCAUCAGCCGCGGUAAUACGGAGGAUCCGAGCGUUAUCCGGAUUUAUUGGGUUUAAAGGGAGCGUAGGUGGGUUGUUAAGUCAGUUGUGAAAGUUUGCGGCUCAACAGUAAAAUUGCAGUUGAAAAUGGUAGUGUUGAGUACAGUAGAGGUAGGCGGAAUUCGUGGUGUAGCGGUGAAAUGCUUAGAUAUCACGAAGAACUCCGAUUGCGAAGGCAGCUCA
rnacentral:rRNA from 1 species